rnacentral:rRNA from 1 species
GGUUACUGCUAUCGAGGUUCGACUAAGCCAUGCGAGUCGAAUGUAGCAAUACAUGGCGUACUGCUCAGUAACACGUGGACAACCUGCCCUUAGGACGGGUAUAAACCCGGGAAACUGGGUAUAAUUCCCGAUAGGUCUCGUCUGCUGGAAUGCAUCGAGAUCCAAAGCUCCGGCGCCUAAGGAUGGGUCUGCGGCCUAUCAGGUAGUAGUGGGUGUAGCGUACCUACUAGCCUACGACGGGUACGGGUUGUGAGAGCAAGAGCCCGGAGAUGGAUUCUGAGACACUAAUCCAGGCCCUACGGGGUGCAGCAGGCGCGAAAACUUUACAAUGCUGGGAACAGCGAUAAGGGAACCUCGAGUGCCAGGUUACAAAUCUGGCUGUCGUGAUGCCUAAAAAGCAUUAUAUAGCAAGGGCCGGGCAAGACCGGUGCCAGCCGCCGCGGUAACACCGGCGGCUCGAGUGGUAACCGUUAUUAUUGGGUCUAAAGGGUCUGUAGCCGGCCGGAUAAGUCUCUUGGGAAAUCUGGCAGCUUAACUGUCAGGCUUUCAGGGGAUACUGUCUGGCUCGAGGCCGGGAGAGGUGAGAGGUACUUCAGGGGUAGGGGUGAAAUCUUGUAAUCCUUGAAGGACCACCAGUGGCGAAGGCGUCUCACCAGAACGGACCUGACGGCAAGGGACGAAAGCUAGGGGCACGAACCGGAUUAGAUACCCGGG